CCUACGGGAGGCAGCAGUAGGGAAUAUUGCUCAAUGGGGGAAACCCUGAAGCAGCAACGCCGCGUGGAGGAUGAAGGUUUUAGGAUUGUAAACUCCUUUUGUGAGAGAAGAUAAUGACGGUAUCUCACGAAUAAGCACCGGCUAACUCCGUGCCAGCAGCCGCGGUAAUACGGAGUGUGCAAGCGUUACUCGGAAUCACUGGGCGUAAAGAGUGCGCAGGCGGGCUUGUAAGUCAGAUGUGAAAUCCUGUAGCUUAACUACAGAACUGAAUUUGAAACUAUGAGUCUAGAGUGUGUGAGAGGUAGGUGGAAUUCUUGGUGUAGCAGUAAAAUGCGUAGAUAUCAAGAGGAAUACUGAUUGCGAAGGCGACCUACUGGAACAUUACUGACGCUCAUGCACGAAAGCGUGGGGAGCAAACAGGAUUAGAUACCCGGGUAGUC
rnacentral:rRNA from 1 species